rnacentral:rRNA from 1 species
CCUACGGGCGGCAGCAGUGGGGAAUAUUGGACAAUGGGGGCAACCCUGAUCCAGCCAUGCCGCGUGUGUGAAGAAGGCCCUCGGGUUGUAAAGCACUUUCAGUGAGGAAGAACGCCUGGUGGUUAAUACCCAUCAGGAAAGACAUCACUCACAGAAGAAGCACCGGCUAACUCCGUGCCAGCAGCCGCGGUAAUACGGAGGGUGCGAGCGUUAAUCGGAAUUACUGGGCGUAAAGCGCGCGUAGGUGGCUUGAUAAGCCGGUUGUGAAAGCCCCGGGCUCAACCUGGGAACGGCAUCCGGAACUGUCAAGCUAGAGUGCAGGAGAGGAAGGUAGAAUUCCCGGUGUAGCGGUGAAAUGCGUAGAGAUCGGGAGGAAUACCAGUGGCGAAGGCGGCCUUCUGGACUGACACUGACACUGAGGUGCGGAAGCGUGGGUAGCAAACAGGAUUAGAUACCCUGGUAGUC